GCUCCGGUAGUAUAGACAAGGUAAACCUUCUAGAUCGGUCAAGUAUGCCGGCCUUUCGAGCCGGUCACCCGGGUUCAAAUCCCGGCCGGAGCACCA
rnacentral:tRNA from 1 species